UACGGAGGAUGCGAGCGUUAUCCGGAUUUAUUGGGUUUAAAGGGUGCGUAGGCGGAAUAUCAAGUCAGCGGUAAAAAUUCGGGGCUCAACCCCGUCGUGCCGUUGAAACUGAUGUUCUUGAGUGGGCGAGAAGUAUGCGGAAUGCGUGGUGUAGCGGUGAAAUGCAUAGAUAUCAGGAGGAAUACCGUUAGCGAAGGCGGCAAUCUGGCUGGAAACUGACGCUGAGGUGCGAAAGCGUGGGUAGCAAACAGG
rnacentral:rRNA from 1 species